GAUGAACGCUGGCGGCGUGCCUAAUACAUGCAAGUCGAGCGAACAGAUAAGGAGCUUGCUCCUUUGACGUUAGCGGCGGACGGGUGAGUAACACGUGGGUAACCUACCUAUAAGACUGGGAUAACUUCGGGAAACCGGAGCUAAUACCGGAUAAUAUUUCGAACCGCAUGGUUCGAUAGUGAAAGAUGGUUUUGCUAUCACUUAUAGAUGGACCCGCGCCGUAUUAGCUAGUUGGUAAGGUAACGGCUUACCAAGGCGACGAUACGUAGCCGACCUGAGAGGGUGAUUGGCCACACUGGAACUGAGACACGGUCCAGACUCCUACGGGAGGCAGCAGUAGGGAAUCUUCCGCAAUGGGCGAAAGCCUGACGGAGCAACGCCGCGUGAGUGAUGAAGGUCUUCGGAUCGUAAAACUCUGUUAUUAGGGAAGAACAUACGUGUAAGUAACUGUGCACGUCUUGACGGUACCUAAUCAGAAAGCCACGGCUAACUACGUG
rnacentral:rRNA from 1 species